AAAGUUAACAAUCACACGCGCGGACCUUCAAGUCACCGUCAAGAUUCCUCCGCAAGAGUUUUACCGGCGACAAUGGUGGGGGUGAGGGAGGGUGAGAGAACUGUGUCUUCAUCUGCUAACAUCAGAAGAUAACCUAUUUUCGCCGCUCUCAAACAUGCUAUAAAAGUGUUUUCAUCCUAUUGCAUGUUUUUAAUCUUUAUUUUAUUAUUUUGCUCUUUUUUUCAUCGCAAGUUACAGAUGUUCCACAACGAUAUGGAUCACAACCAAACUGUGACUCGGAUAUCUUUUCCGUUUAAUGUUUUUCAAAAAGCGAUAUCUGAGGAAAAAAUUGUGUAGCUUAUACAGUAACAGAAUAGAGUUAUCGCUUAUAAAUAAGAACGUACAACUACAAAACCACACCCUGAGGAGAUCUGGAGAAGAAAAAAUGUAGAAAAGAAAAAUGAUUUCGAGAAAGAAAAAUAACUAAGCCGUGGGGACAUUUACAACCAUGCCAACGUCGUCAGUGUUACCUGAAGUGAGGUCUGAUCACUAGCACUGAUCAGCUGGGCAGAAGGAGGAGAAGACUAUUGACUAUGAUUCUAAGCAGGACAAGAUCAUGAAGCCAUAGUCUAAUCUGUUGUCGUUCGGCAUACAGCAGCAGCAACAGCAGCAAUGGCAAGAGUGGGCAGCUGUGGAAGAUGCAUUGCUGAAAUGAGCUCACAAACCAUGAGCGGAACUUAAUGUAAUUUACCUGAUGGUAGAAUUGCCAAUAUGCUUGAAAAAAAUAAAUAUGUCCUACUCAAAUAUUUUGUUUUGUCAACCCCAUCUAAUAAACAAUAGUGAAAAGAAAAUGAUUCAUAAUCUUUUGCAAAU